UCAGAAGCAGGCUCCAAGCUCUGAGCUGUCAGCACAGGGCCUGACACGGGGCUCGAACUCCUGAACCACAGUCGGAUGCUUAACCAACUGAGCCACCCAGGCGCCCCUAAUAGGAAAAAGUUUAAACAUACAGGAAAACUGAAGUAAUGGUGCAGUGAGCAUCUGUGUACCCACCACCUAGAUUUUACAAUUAACAUUUUACUCGGCUUUUCACAUAUCCAUCUAUAAAGCCUUGGUGUUUGAUGCAUUACAAAGAAAAUUACAGAUUCAAGUACAUUUCACUUCUAAACAUUUCAGCAUGCAUAUUGUUAGCUAGAAUUUAGUAUUUAUUAAAGGUUCACUUUUUUUAUUUUGAGGUAAAAUUUACAUGCGAUGAAAUACACAAAUCUUGAAGUUUUUGAUGCAAUGAAUUUUGACAAAUCCUGCAUCUGUGAAUCUCCAGCCUUUGUCAAGAUAACAUUUCCUUCGCCCCAGGAAACUCCCUCAUGCUCCUUCCCAGUCAAUCUCUGUCACCCCAGCUGGGGUGUACCCUAGGCAACCACUGUUCCUUCUGAUUCCCCCCCUUCACGGUUUAGUUGAUUUUUCAAAAUGUUUAUAAAUGAAUCAGAGUAUCAGUUCAGACACUUAACUGACCGAACCACCCAGGCACCUCUCUCAUUGCGGUUUUAAUUUGCAUUUCCCAAGAUCAUGUUGAGUAGUUUUUCAUGUGCUUAUUUGCCAGUUGUAUACAUUCCUUAUUGAAGUGUGUUCAAAUUUGUUGUAUUUUUAUUAUUGAGUUAUAGGGGUUUAUUCCGUAUGCCAGUUGCAGAUCUUUUUCAGCUAUAUUACUGCCUAUUUAGGUGUCCUUACCUAACUAAUGUGUAUUAUAUGUUAUACACCCAAUCAUAGUUUAAAUAAUUAGUCCAGGACUUGCAAGCGAGUUAUUUGGCUGAAAGUUAAGCUGUUCUGGUAUGCUAACCAGUUCUCUGGUGGCCUAAAAGUUAAUGUUAGUUAUUAAAAUACAAACAAACUUCAGGGAUCUGAAUUAAUUAGGGGAAAGCUAAUUGCUGAAAGGUCUUACUACAAAAAAAAAGCAUCAACUGAUACUUGAGGAAAUAUUACCCAAAUGUACUCAGAUUAUACCAGUUUAAUAAUGACCAGCCUAACCUCACUUUAUGUCUCUUUCUACUGGCCCACGGAUUCAAACUGUUCUGCACAACUUGUACUUUGGGUACUCAAUAAAGAAUAAAAAAUGUUGAGGAUAAGGCCUGUAAGGUUUCUCAAUGUGCGAGCUAUAGCUUUAUAACUAUUGGUCUCUUCGUGUCAUCUCAAAGUUCUUUAUGAGUGCUUAUUCAAUUUUUAAAUAUUUAAUAGCUCUAAUGGUAAGUAUAACAGGUGGUAAGUAUAACAGGACAUUAAUAAUGUUUAUUCUCAAUCAUCUACUUUUUAAAAUAUAUUGGACUGCAAAGGUCUCCCUGAAGUGUCUGUUGGUUAAAUUAUAGUGUAAAAUCCAUUGUUCACAAAUGUUUGUUAAUAAUAGGCGGCUAUAAACCAUUGGAAAACGGAGAAACAAAACACCUUAAUUCUGAGCAGCCAUUCAUUUCAGGGGAAAAAGUCAAUGCUUUAUUUUUGUUUAUACUGAAGCUAAAAAUACACAAAACCAUUUUGUACAGUAUUUUUAACACAUUUAAAGAUGACACUAACUUUGCACUUCUUACAGAAAGUAUUUAAAUAAAAGUAAGGUUACUCAAGGAGGUUUUAGCUUUUAAAAUUGUUGUCUGCAAAGCCAAAAUGACAUUUACACAAACACAUUUGGAAUUUUCCUUUUUCAUGAUUAAGCCCAAGAGAUACAAUUUUCAUCUUGAGUUCGAUGCAAACAUUUUCUGUAUGGCAAUGUGUGAUUGGGGCUGUCAACUAGGUUAAGAAAGUGAGUUAAACACCACCUGUGUUCUUUACAAUUCUUUGUCUUGCGUCAAAUGUUAGUUCCAAACUACAUUCAUUGUUUUGAAUAGGCAGAAGCUCUUCAGUCGCAGUUUCAACCUCGUUUUUGAGAAAUCUGGAAACAAUUCUGUGAAAGGUUUAAAUAUUGAUACUUUCUUGAAUACUACCACUGGUGUGCAUUCCCAUGUUACAAGAAACAAAAAGAAAAUGUUUUCGCUUGAGAAGGAUGUGUUUAUUCAUACUUAAAUGUCCUUGAGAAAGUCUUUACCUUUACAGUUGACAUAAGAAACCGUUUGUGUUUACUUUUAGUAUGUUAAAGUAACAGUUUGAACAGUUAAAAAUUUCAUAGCUAAUAAUUUAUCAAAUCGGAUUGCCUUUAGCAUUAUGAAAGCCAGAGACUAAUGUGUUCAACCCUUUGGGUUUAGAGAUUUCCUGAUGAGCUCCCACGACAUUCGUUUUAGUGUCCUUGGUUCCAAUGCUCCUGUUAGACACUUCAGAGUUCUGCUUCUCCUGUUCAAGUAUACUAAGUACAGUUAUCACUGUGCUUGUUGGACUACAGGCUCCAUUGCUUUGGUUGUUGAAACUGAUCACUUAAUGUAUGUUGUAAAAGGAAGUCCUGCACGGUGUGACCAUGAAGUGAUAAAGCUUUACCUUAAUAUAACUAGACCCUACACAGGAAAUACAUGUGAUUUUCAAAUGACUUGAACAUUCAGCCAGCUGCCGCCAUCCUCCCUCUAGAGCCGCCUCCUACUUCUGUUGCCAGAGUUCCUCCUAAGUUCAACGAACACCCACCCCCUCUAUUUCUCCAAAGGCUGGGGCUUUUCUUUACGGCCCCUUCUUCCUGCCAACAGCCUAGUUGUCAGAACCUCUGCAUCAUGAAGUACAUUUCUAAUGCAUCAAAUAAGGUUUUGGAAGCCAAUGCUGGGUUUAUUUAUAACAAGCUGUUGGAACUCGGAAUGUGUUUCACUAUUAAACACAAAUGUUUUAAGGGUUCAGUCAUUAUGGUUGUUCCCAAAUCCGUGGAGGUUGUAUACCUAAAUGUGUUCUUUAAUGUUUCCUCCUCGGGAGGCUUUAGAUGCACAUAUUUCAGUAAGACUGCCACUCGCUGUCCCAAGCAUGUCUAAAACUAGAUUUCAGACUGCUGAGAGGGACAAGGACUCUUUGGGGAUAUUGGAAUUUUUUUUUAAUGUUUAUUUUGAGAGAGAGAGAGAGAGAGAGAGAGAGAGAGAGAAUCUCAAGCAUGUUCCAUGCUGUCAGCGCAGAGCCCAAUGUGGGGCUCAACCCCAUGAACUGUGAGAUCAUGGCCUGAGCCAAAAUUACGAGUCAGACACUUAACCGACUGAGCCACCCGGGUGCCCCAGAAAGUUUUGCAUCUUAAUGUUGGUGAUGGUUCCAGGGAUAGAUACAACUGUGAAAACUCACUGAAUUGCACACAUUAAAGUAAGGAUGCAGGCAAGUGUACACCAGUUAUUACUCUAUAAUAAAGUUGGUAAGAAAAAAAAUUAACUGGUUUCCAAAGAGUGUCAGGUCGCUUUACAAAUCACACAAGAAACUGUCUCAUUUUAUACUUGUACCUAAUGAAGUGCUUAUUAUGUAUUAGCGCUUGAACCAGAAAAAUUAGAACUCCGCUGGAUCACCCCAAUUUUUGACCAAAUAUGGACCUAAAAAUUACUUUUGACUGUUGCUUUCUAAAAAUUUUGUCUUACAGGAUCAUAGUUUUCUACCAUUGAGGAUAUUUCUACCAUUGAGAAUAUUACGGAUUUUUAAAGGCUUCCCAAAAGCAGAAGUCCACAAUGGUUUGAGUAACGUCAGCCUUCACACAUGGGUGUGGCUUAAGAUGAUUAGUUUGAAGAACCGCAUUCAUUUGGGCACAUACGUUCCAGCAUGCGUGUGAAAAUGAUCAGUCUCCUUUUAUAAUCUCAGUUGAUAUGUUUAUUCCACAUUUUUGAGGCUAAAACAUGAUACCAGGUAUGUUCUUUUCGAACCUAAAUGCUUUAUUUUUCUUCAAACCAGAAACCUGAAAUUCUGAGGGCUUUCAGUAUUAACAAUUGUGCUACAGGAGAUACUGUCGUGGCAACUUAUUUGAGAAAUUCCUCACCAUAUCUCAGGAAGUUUCUUUCCAUUGAAGUUACUUCUCCUCCUUCCUUAAAAAUGAUCGAAUAAUUACCCAAAAAGAGGAAGGGCCAAGGACAGAACAAUCAAAUGCUAUUAGGUUUCAUUGUGUGCAUGCGUGUGUGUGUGUAUGUGUGUGCGUGUGUAUAACACAAAUAAAGUUCUCACUAUUACAAACCUC